rnacentral:rRNA from 1 species
CAGUCGCCGCGGGAAAACGAAGGGGGCUAGCGUUGUUCGGAUUUACUGGGCGUAAAGCGCACGUAGGCGGACUUUUAAGUCAGGGGUGAAAUCCCGGGGCUCAACCCCGGAACUGCCUUUGAUACUGGAAGUCUUGAGUAUGGUAGAGGUGAGUGGAAUUCCGAGUGUAGAGGUGAAAUUCGUAGAUAUUCGGAGGAACACCAGUGGCGAAGGCGGCUCACUGGACCAUUACUGACGCUGAGGUGCGAAAGCGUGGGGAGCAAACAGGAUUAGAUACCCCAGUAGUCCCUGUCUCUUAUAC